GAUUAAGUUAUUAAGGGCGCACGGUGGAUGCCUUGGCACUAGAAGCCGAUGAAGGACGUUACUAACGACGAUAUGCUUUGGGGAGCUGUAAGUAAGCUUUGAUCCAGAGAUUUCCGAAUGGGGAAACCCAGCAUGAGUUAUGUCAUGUUAUCGAUAUGUGAAUACAUAGCAUAUUAGAAGGCACACCCGGAGAACUGAAACAUCUUAGUACCCGGAGGAAGAGAAAGAAAAUUCGAUUCCCUUAGUAGCGGCGAGCGAAACGGGAAGAGCCCAAACCAACAAGCUUGCUUGUUGGGGUUGUAGGACACUCUAUACGGAGUUACAAAGGACGACAUUAGACGAAUCAUCUGGAAAGAUGAAUCAAAGAAGGUAAUAAUCCUGUAGUCG
rnacentral:rRNA from 1 species